AUAUAUGAUAGUUUUUCUGUGCCUGUUUACUAAUUGAAAAGUCGCGUUCAGAUUAUAUCAUCUAGUCUGGUCAUGUGCAAUAUAGAAAGAACCUGAAUGAAAGAUUCAGGUUCUUUUUUUG
rnacentral:sRNA from 1 species